ensembl:lncRNA
GCUGACGGUGCGCGCGCAGCACCCCGGGAAGGUGGGAAGAGGCGCUCGUAGAUGCGCGCGCAGUCACCCGUCAGGGGAGGGGAAACUGUGGAGCCUCCGCCAUCUUGUCUCCCUCUCCUUACCUGCGUCCUCGGGGGCGUGCUCACCACCCCCCCUCCCGCCGAGGAGGGGGGAGGGCCCCCUCUUGGUCACCGCCUUCACUGCUUUAAAUUCCCCUAAGGGCCGCAACAAGAGCCACUCCAGUGCUCCCACCGCUUCUAGUCACGCCACGAAGGUGAGAUCAGUGAGCUGAAGAAAAAGGAGACGCUACUCUCAGCGACCCCGCCGCCGCCGCUGCUCCCGAGGCCUCACCAAAAUGGCCGCCGCCGUCUCGGCCGCCACCGCCACUACCACCACCACUACCACCACCACCAAGGCUCGUUAUCGCUACCGCCAGAGCGGCCCGUCUUCUCGCGAUACACAGUAACUGGAGGCUGGAGGGGCGGGUAGGCUCGCGUGCUAGCGUAGGACAGUGGGGCGCAAAGCAAGUUGGGAGUUGUAGUUCGCUCCAUGGCUCCAUGCUGGCCCAGCAUGCUUCAAUGGGUCUGACACUCCUGCUACAUUGCAGCUGCCCGCUGGGACCGCCCUUUGGGUUUAGGAAGGUUUUGUUUUUUGGUUUUUUUUCAGGGCUACUUGUUUCACACGGAUUUGGAAGUUUUUAUUUUUGCAGAUCACCGAGUGAAAUGAAACAAAUGAAUAGUAGAGCCUAGAUCUCCUGAUUCCCAAAGCAGUUACUUUUUUUGUUUGUUUUUGAAAGGCCAUGUCUCACAAUGUAGCUUUGGCUGACCUGGACUCACUAUGUAGAUCAAACUAACCUUACUUACAUUUACAAAAAUGCUCCUGCAUCUUCCUGGGAUUAACGUGUGCACCACCACUACCAGCUGCAACUUUGUAGCAUUGGUUUCCAAAGAGCUCCCAAACAUCUUGCCAAUGGUUUACAGUCUUUUAUAUUAAUAACUAUUUUGAGAGGUUGGGAACAUAGCUCAGUGACUAAGAAUAUUGGGUGCUUCCUCUUCCAGAGAACCCACAUUCUAUCUCCAGAAUAAAGAAGCUCCUGCUCUUUAACUCCAGUUCCAAGGAAUCUGACACCCUCUUCUGGCCUCAGGGAGCAAUGCACAAACAUGGUGCACAGAUAUACACGAAGAACUCCUACCAGCAACAUUGAAAAAUUACUCCCAGGCCAGCUAGAAUGGAGCACAAGAACAACAACAGGAAUGAGCCUGCCUCAGAACAAGGUUAAAAGAAAAUCAGCUCCCAAGACACUGUCCUUUAAGCUUCACAUUCGUGCCCUGAUGCAAGUACACCCCCUUCUCAAGACCAGACUGGCUUGGACUAUAUAGCCAUACUUUAUCUCAAAUAAAUACUAGAUAGAUGUGUAAUAGUGAAUUCUAGGUCAGCCAGAACCACUUAGACUCUAUCUUGAAAAACAACAAAAAUAUCUUUCUGGGUCUUGCUGUGUAGCCCAAACAAGCCUAAAGGCUAGUGGCAAGGUUCAGCAAGGGUGUGAUUUGAAUUCACAUUACUGAGUGGGAGGAAAAAAAAGUAGGGGCCAGGUCCAAUCCCCAGAACCCAUGUACAUGUAAAAAGAGAAACCAACUCCCAAAAGUCCAUGUGUAUACCUUUGCCUUCCAAGACAGUAACUUCAACAGGUGGCUGAAGAGAUCGUUCAGUAGUCAAGAGCACUUGUUGCUCUUGUAGAGGACCUGGGCUUGGUUCCAAGUACCUACAUGAUGACUGACAUCUUUCAUAAUACCAGUUCCAGGGGAUCCAAACCCCCUUUUUGGUUUCCUCUGCCACCAGGCAUGCACAUGGUACACAUACAUACAGGUAAAACAUUAAUAUUCAUGUAAGAAUUUUACAAAUUAGGGGCUCAGUGAGUAAACAUAUUUGCCACUAAACCUGACAUGAAUUUGAUGCCGAAACUCACAAAGUAGAAGGCGAAUAAGGGUCUCUAUUUCAGUUGGUAGAGUGCUUGCCCAACAUUUGUGAAGCCUUGGGUUCAGUUCUUAGUGUCAUUUUAAAACAGAUGUGAUGGCGUACACCAUCAUUCUGGAGGAGGUGGCAGGAAGAUAAAAAGUUCAGGGUUAUCUAGCAACUCUUGAGACUUGCAUGGGCUAUAUGAAAUUCUGCUAAAAAAAAAAAAUAACUAGCCCAGUUGGUAGUGUGUUUGCAUUGUGGCACAAAGUCUUUGGUUGGCUGUCAGCAUUACAUAAAACUUGCUAUGAAAGAUAAUAAUCCCAGUACCUGAAGAUUGAGGAAAGAUGAUCUCAUGAGGCAACUCUGGUCUAUAUAGUGAAUUCCCAACCAAUUAGGUAUAUACGGUGAGACCCUUCUCAAAACACACACACACACACACACACACACAAUACCACAAAAACAUGGAGGGGGUUGUGUGUGUUUCAGUUGGUAGUGUGCUUGCUUCAACUGGAAGUGAUAAUCCUAACACCAGGGAGGUAGACACAGGAGGAUCAGUGUUCAGGGUUAUUCUUGACCACAUCACAAGUUUGAGGACAGCCUGAACUUAAAAUAAACCCUGAGAACUGUGAUUCUGUAAUUCUAGUACUUAGGAGUUCAAGGCUAGCCUGGGCUGUAUAGUUUCUGGCCAGAAUUGGCUAAGGUAACAAAAUACCUGUAAUCCCAGCAAAUGGGAGGUAGAGCUUUGAGGAUCAGGAGUUAAGCGUUAUCUGAGCUUCCCAGUGAGUAGAGACCAACCUGGGUUGUAUGGGAUCUUGUUUCAGCUCUACUCAAAACCAACAACAAAAGAUGCCAGGGGGUGACAGUAGUCCACAAGCCAGCUUUCAUGGUCUUUUGCAAACAGCACAGAUGAUUGAUCAAGAUGGUGGCUGUUUGCCUUGGAGGAUAGUCCUGUACAGAGUCAAUGUAUAUGGGGCUGGAGAAGGCAGCUUAAUGGUUAAGAGAACCUCCUGUCUCUCCAGAGGACCCCAGUUCUGUUCCCUGCACCCACAUGGCAGCUCACACACCUGCCUUUAGCUCCAGUGUCAGAGGAUCUGAUGCCCUCUUCUGGCUUCCUUUGGGCCUAAGGCAUUUCUGUGGUGCACAAACAUGUAGGCAGGCAAAACAUACAUAAAAGAGAAAAAUAGAAGAAACAUGAGCAUAUAUCUUUAAUGUCUAAAUAUAUCUGUAAUAUAUUUUCUUCAUAUAUAUAAUGCUUAUAAUGACAUUUAAUAUUGUUAACAUUGCUUUAUACUUGUGUUUUUUUCAAUGUUGGAUUAGACCCAGGGCCUAUACCAGGCUAGGCCAGUGCUCUGAGUUCUAUCCUUAGAUAACUAUUUUACAUCUAACUAUUGAUAUUAUGAAAUUCUUACUCAGAAGUAAAAAAGAUAUUUAUCUGUUUCAUUUUAAAAUGCUCUGUGUUUCUGUCUCUCUCUUUCUCUGUGUAUUUGGGGGUGCUUGUGUGUGUAUGUAUGUACAUAUUCCUGUGUAGCGGGGUAGGUGGAUGUUCAUGUGUGUGAGUGUACUUACAUAUGUAUUCACAUGCAUGUAGAGGAUCACACUGUCAUACACACACUUGGACAUGGGUGUGAAUAUAUAAACACUAAUUAAUCAAUAUCUCUCCUUUUAGCAUUCUAAACAUAUCCUUGGUUUAUUACAAUAGGCCCAGUUUUGGGUUUUUUUUUUUUGUUAAGGGUAUCUACACGCAUCUGCAUCACUAAAAG